UAAUGGCUAUUUCAGUUAUUUCCACUAAAAAAAGCUAAAAUUAAAAAAAAAACUGUAAAACGCAAAAUCAUCACUAUCCGUGUCUCGCCACUCUUCCUCACACAAACAACUCUCUCAGUUCCUUACUCUUUGAGAAGUGAUAACCACACACCAAUCUUCUUCUUCUCGAUCUCGCUCUUGCUUUCACAUCUCUAUCAUUUCAUGUUCUUCAUCACUCAAAUCUCUUCCCAGUUUUCAUCUCAAUCUUAAUCGCCCUCUGAAUCCUCUUCUCGGACAAACUUGUGUUGAUUUCGAUUGAAAUCUCAAUCGUGCUCUAGAAAUCAAGUUGAACUUGUCAUUCAGUGAUUUAGACUCAAAAUUUUGAAGGUUUUAUUCGCUCAAUGAUUCAGCAAUGCAUUAUCGAUUUUAGAUUAUGAUGGAUAUGGCUUCGAUACUUGGGGAUGCAAUCGACUACUUGAGGGAGUUACUGCAGUGGAUUAAUAAUCUUCACG